AUAAUUAAAAUGCUUACUUGAGUGAUUAAAAGUAACAAGUUUGGAAGAGAUUCUUUAUUAUUUCCGCUAUUUUUUUCCAGUAAAUACAACGACAAGCGGAUCCACUACAAAAACAAGCUGAGCCGAGCCAGAGGGGUUUACCUGAGAGAGACGGGGUGGCGUGACGAAAAAAUAAAAGACCUGGACAAAGAGAUUUUUAUUCUGAGGAAACAGGAGGAAAAGACGGCACACAUGAUGAAGACGGUCACAUCUGAAAAUGAGAGUCUGCUUCAGAAGAACAGACAGCUUCUUUUACAGCUGCAUGACUUUGAAGAGGCACAGAAAAAUGCUUCGGAUGUGAUUUCCACCAUGCAGAUGAGGAUGAAUUUGCUUGAAACAGAAAAUGUUCAGCUAAAGCAGACAACAGCACAAAUGUCGGAGCACAUCGAAUGUCUGACGAUACUGGCCGAGACGAACUGUGAUGUAAGUACAUUCCUUUAGAUCUGAUUUUCAGGUUUACAAAUCAAGAUCACUGAUGGUUUAGGUGAUCUUUGUUCACAUUUUACAGCAGGAAGUCACUGCCGAGAGUCGUGUCAUAGAGGGCGAAGACCAAACUACUCCUCCUACAUAAAUAUCUUCAUUUUUCUUCUAAGUGUAAAUUAAAUUAUUUUUGUAAACCUAAAUAUUUCUAAAUAAAGAUCCCAUUUUUCUGUGUCUAUGUAAUCUA
ensembl:lncRNA